CCUACGGGAGGCAGCAGUGGGGAAUAUUGCACAAUGGGGGGAACCCUGAUGCAGCGACGCCGCGUGGGUGAAGGAGUAUUUCGGUAUGUAAAGCCCUAUCAGCAGGGAAGAACAAUGACGGUACCUGACUAAGAAGCACCGGCUAAAUACGUGCCAGCAGCCGCGGUAAUACGUAUGGUGCAAGCGUUGUCCGGAUUUACUGGGUGUAAAGGGCGUGCAGCCGGAGAGACAAGUCAGAUGUGAAAUCCACGGGCUCAACCCGUGAACUGCAUUUGAAACUGUUUCCCUUGAGUGUCGGAGAGGUAAUCGGAAUUCCUUGUGUAGCGGUGAAAUGCGUAGAUAUAAGGAAGAACACCAGUGGCGAAGGCGGAUUACUGGACGAUAACUGACGGUGAGGCGCGAAAGCGUGGGGAGCAAACAGGAUUAGAUACCCUUGUAGUC
rnacentral:rRNA from 1 species